rnacentral:lncRNA from 1 species
GGGCUUCUUUGACACCAAAUUUGAAAUUCAAAGCAGGUUCAGCUAGAAGGUGUCAUGUGCAAGUGUUCAGACAAACUUGAGUCUAAUCAGAUGUAACUUCUGCAAAAGGCGAACAAAAGGCAGAACAGUGCUCUGCAAGAGGGAUCGCAUAUGGACCAAAUGGUUCUUCUUCUCAGGUGUACGUGCACUGUUCAGUGGCAGCCUGCUCUGCUGCCAACACACUGCCUGGCAUUCCCUGCAGAGGACAGUGCAGCCCAAGCACAGAGAGGAACGCCUUUCCAGGUCACAAUUCGGCCCACCUCCAGGGUUAUGUACUUGCUGGACCAGUCUGGAUUGUUGAAUCAGACCUAAGAUGAAGCAUGUAAACUGAAUUUGGUAAGAACGCUUGGCCUUAUGUACUCACUUAGGUCACCGUGUUUUGAGUCACACAUGAUACAUACCUUCUGUUAUGAGACCUUAAGUUUCUGGGACACUGUCUCCAUCUUGGCUCUGCUACCUUUUCAAAAGCAUAUGGGACAAGAACUUGGGAAUAGGCAGGGUAUGUGGUCUCCUGGUCUAAGCUUGAACCCAUAAGAAAGGGAAGAAGGAGAGCUACCUGCCAAGCAAAACACAGGUGGUACAGCUCUAGAGAAGAUGCCAGCAGUAAAGCAGGGUAUGCUGGAGU